ACCUGACUGGCUCAGUCGAUAGAGCAUGCGACUCUUGAUCUCAGGGUUGUGAGUUUGAGUUCCACUUUGGGUG
rnacentral:tRNA from 1 species